rnacentral:lncRNA from 10 species
AGGAAGGAGAGAUCAUGGCGGACGGGAGGCAAGACUAGCCUGCAGCUCUGGACAGAGCAGCGAGUGGGAGCUCGCAUUGUAAACUUUAGCUCCAGAUGGACGGCAAAAACAAACCAGCAAUCCCCAGAGGACCCACAGACCCUCUGAAGGAAGUGGGCUGCUCCUGCAGGACCCGGGAGACCCCCAAAACUGUGAGUGUCCAGCUGCCGAAGUGGGAAAGGGAAACCCUCCUCUCCGGAACAGACACCCCCUGAGAAGUCUAUUUGUGGGAGAAGUUUCCGACUUUACCUGGAGCUGAGUCAGUCUGGAGAGCUGACUGAAAUACAGGGAUAGAGGAGGCAGCAGCAAGGCCCUGGGAGCUGAAUGGGUCCCCGGGCAGCCCAUUCCUGCCUGGCACCACAGGGAUCCAACGGGAGAGGAACAGAGGGUAAAACUACACGGAGAGAAGGAAAUCUCUAGCUGAACUUUGUAACAAUUCGAACAGCGUGAGAAGUCUCCUGGCCAGAACUCGGGGGAGGACACAAAUCUCCUGCACAGUUAAUAUCCAGAGUCACACGUGGAGAGGAAGCAUCACAAUGAGACCAUACAACCAUAUAAUCUGUUCAAGUCCUAGAAGGUGUUGGCAGAGCUGCAGGACUGACCUAGGUCAAUGGCUGUGGGUUCUUUUCAGUGUCUGC